AGGAAGGUGUGCAUGAAUGUGGGUAGCAUAAAGUGACAAUAGUUUAACCCCAUUUGUGAGGUGCGGCCAAAGAGCGCUAGCUGCUGUUUCGUACCUGUUUCAUAUGUUUUGUAUAUGCUUGUACACACUGGUUCAUAAACCCUGAAUUAGCUUGUUGGUUUACAGUUUGGACCAAGUGGACGUCGCGGUUGUAAACCGCUGGAUUACUGAGUGUUUUAAAAGAUUAUCCUGCGCAACGGUUCUGUGCUAUGUUUGAGUAAGGACUUGGAUAUCCAUCUUUUGUGCAGGUGUAUUAAAUUAACAGGCUUGGUAUUUUUGCUCCGUGAGCCGCUUGGACGCUUUUUAAAUAUUAAUCGGGAGUUAAUUGUUUUUCUCUUUUUAACGUGUGUAAGUACCAUUUACAUAACUAUUUCCACAUGUAACUAUCUGAUGAGCUGUGAUUUUUGAGACUUAAACAGAAGGGGCGAUUGUUAGUGUGUUUUGGGUUUAUUUUUGGUUUAUUCUUUUAAGAAUUAUGCACUGAUUUGCUGUGUGCUCUGUCCCUUCUGUUACAAAGAGGAUGUAAUCUAGUCUCUCCGAUUGUGGGUAAAUAACUGGUAAGCUUUAAAUGGUAUUUUAAAAUAUUUUUAAACAUUCUUUUGUUUAAUAAAUUUGUACUAUUUGUGUAAA